GACGAACGCUGGCGGCGUGCUUAACACAUGCAAGUCGAACGGAAAGGCCCUGCUUGCAGGGUACUCGAGUGGCGAACGGGUGAGUAACACGUGGGUGAUCUGCCCUGCACUUCGGGAUAAGCCUGGGAAACUGGGUCUAAUACCGGAUAGGAGCCAUUUUUAGUGUGAUGGUUGGAAAGUUUUUUCGGUGUAGGAUGAGCUCGCGGCCUAUCAGCUUGUUGGUGGGGUAAUGGCCUACCAAGGCGGCGACGGGUAGCCGGCCUGAGAGGGUGGACGGCCACAUUGGGACUGAGAGACGGCCCAGACUCCUACGGGAGGCAGAAGUGGGGAAGAUUGCACAAUGGGCGCAAGCCUGAUGCAGCGACGCCGCGUGGGGGAUGACGGCCUUCGGGUUGGAAACUCCUUUCGCUAGGGACGAAGCUUUUUGUGACGGUACCUAGAUAAGAAGCACCGGCUAACUACGUG
rnacentral:rRNA from 1 species